CCUACAUGAAGCUGGAGUUGCUAGUAAUCGCGAAUCAGCAUGUCGCGGUGAAUACGUUCCCGGGCCUUGUACACACCGCCCGUCACACCAUGAGAGUUGGCAAUACCCAACGUACGUGAUCUAACCCGCAAGGGAGGAAGCGUCCUAAGGUAGGGUCAGCGAUUGGGGUGAAGUCGUAACAAGGUAUC
rnacentral:rRNA from 1 species